UUCCCCCCUCUUCACCUUCCCUCCCCGCCUCAUUCUGUCCAAUAACGUCCCUCUUUUGCCUCCUUUUCUCUUCCCAAUCCUUCCACCACUUGUUCAUCACCUUAGCUCCACUGGGUUUUCUUCAUAAGCGCGCCCGCCCAAACCCCCCCCCCCCCUCUCGCUCUCUCUCUCUGUGCGUUAAGUUUCACUCUUUUAAAGAAUCCUUUGGGAUGCUCUGAAUCCCUUUCCUAGUUUCACUUUUCUAGAUCUCUUUUUGGAUUCUACAAACUCCCCAACUAAAAGAACUAUUUUCCUAUUUACAUUGACUUCGUCUGUCUUUGCUCAAAUCUUCAAAAUACUAACUUGAAAAGUGAAUUGUAUGCUUAUUCUAAUACUCCCGAGUCCCAAUCUGGAUUUUGCAUUUUCACUAUUCCCCCACCCAAUAAAGUGCAAUUUUAUUGUGGGUAUAUCAGUCAGCUCUACUCAGCUGUGUCCCUUUCUGUGUUCCUUUCAUUGUUUAAGUCAGUCAACUGUAUCCAAUUCUGUGUUUACUUCUAAUCAUAAUCUGGGUUCUCUAUUUUCAUUCUGUCCCCGCCAAGAAAGUGCAAAUUUCUUGGCAAAAAUCACUCAAUUGUGUUGAAUUUCCUUCCUUUUUUAAAGGUCUAAUGCCUCCUUCAUACUUCCCUUUAAGGUGGGAAAGCACUGGAGACCAGUGGUGGUUCGCAUCCCCAAUAGAUUGGGCAGCUGCCAAUGGCCACUAUGAUCUGGUGAGAGAGCUCCUCCACCUUGACACCAAUCUCCUCAUCAAACUCACCUCCCUCCGCCGCAUCCGCCGCCUCGAGACCGUCUGGGACGACGAAUCCCAGUUCAAUGACGUGGCCAAAUGUAGAUCCCAAGUGGCCCAAAAGCUCCUCAUUGGGUGUGAAACAGAUAGGGGACACAACUCUCUGGUAAGGGCUGGCUAUGGCGGUUGGCUCCUCUACACUGCUGCCUCAGCUGGGGAUGUGGGUUUUGUUCAAGAGUUGCUGGAGAGGGACCCAUUUCUGGUUUUUGGUGAAGGAGAGUAUGGGCUCACUGAUAUAUUUUAUGCCGCAGCGAGGAGCAAGAACUCGGAGGUUUUCAGGGUUCUGUUUGAUUUUGCUGCUUCAAAGAGGGGUUUGAGUGGUGGGGAUGAGGAAGGGGAAGAGUCAGAGGAGGUAUCUGAAGUGUUUAAGUGGGAGAUGAUGAAUCGAGCCGUUCAUGCCGCGGCUAGGGGAGGGAAUGUGGAGAUCUUGAGAGAGAUUCUUGGGGAUUGUAAGGAUGUUUUGGUUUAUAGAGAUGCUCAAGGAUCUUCUGUAUUGCAUUCAGCCGCUGGGAGAGGGCAGGUUGAGGUAGUCAAGGAUCUACUAGCGUCUUAUGAUAUCAUCACCUCAACAGAUGAUCAAGGGAACACAGCUUUAAAUGUGGCUUCUUACAGGGGAUACUUGCCCGUGGUAGAGGUUCUAAUUUCAUCAACUCCGUCAAUCACCUCCAUAACAAACAACUACGGAGACACAUUCCUCCACAUGGCAGUAGCCGGUUUCCGAACCCCAGGUUUCCAUAGACUCGACCGUCAAAUCGAGCUCAUAAAGCAGUUGGUCUACGGCAACCUUGUAAAUAUGGAGGAAAUCGUUAAUCUCACGAAUAACGAUGGAAGAACUGCACUUCACAUGGCCGUAAUUGAAAAUGUUCAGUCUGAAUUGGUAGAACUCCUCAUGAACAUACCUUCAAUUAAUCUGAACAUCCGCGAUGCAAAUGGGAUGACACCACUUGAUCUCCUGAAACAACGGCCACGAUCAGCUUCUUCUGAGAUCCUGAUCAAACAGUUGAUUUCCGCUGGAGGGAUAUCCGAUGGUCAGGGUUACAAGGCCAGGAGUGCCCUCGUUUCACAACUGAAAAUGCAUGGUAUUGGGGGAAGCCCCGGGACUUCGUUCAGAAUUCCUGAUGCGGAGAUAUUCUUGUACACUGGAAUAGAUAAUAUUGGAUCUGAUACGGAAUAUGAUAGUUGCUCGAGUGCACUCACUGAUUUAAACUCUCCUGCCUUUUCCAUGGAUAACGAGAAAUCAAGCUCUGUGAAUAAUGCUGCAAGGCGGUUGAAGAUGUUCCUUCAAUGGCCAAGGAAAGAGAGAAGAACUGAAAGCGGAAAUCUGGGGGAUAACGAUUCUUUGCAUUCACUCAUGGUAUCGAGAAAUUUGAAUCCAAGUCCUACACCACUUCGACAGAAAUAUUCCAAACAGUCGUCAUUUCAGAACAGCAAGAGGAUAUUUUCAGUGGGAAGUGAUCUUCUUCCUAGUCCAUCUGCGAAAAAGAAGUUUGCUUCGAGGCUUAUGCAUGGAGUCAUUCAGGUUCAAUCACCCUCAAGUCCUUUUUCAGAAUCAUCAAGGUCUUCACCCAUCUCAAUUGACAAACUCAAAGGCAUAGAAGCAGAAAACGAAAUUGAAGAGUCUUUUCACUCAACUCACUCCCUUAUUGUUGAAAACAUACGGGAAAACCAAACACAUUCUCCGUUUAACAAGAAGUUGAACCGCUACUUGUGUUUUGGUGCACAAGGCCUGGCUGUGGAAGAUUCAGUUAGUCGCACGCGAUCACGGCAGAGUUUCAGGCAUUCUACUUCUUUAAUGGCUUGAGGUGACUAUCUUGGCGAGCUGGAAACUUGUUUUGCUAUUAGAACACCGGAGAGUUUCGUUGAGCUUUGUAAAUGCUUUUAGGUUUUGUUCUGAUUUCUCUUCCAUGGUGUGGCUUGUUUUGAAUAUUUACCAUGUUGCGCUUGGUUAUUCACCGAGAAAAAAAGAGAAUGCAAAAGGUUGAGGUUAAUUCUGAAAUUUUCUUCCUCUUGGAGUUAUUCUCAUAAUUGUGUCCCUAGUUCUUUAA